UACGUAGGGGGCAAGCGUUGUCCGGAAUUAUUGGGCGUAAAGAGCGUGUAGGCGGUCCGGUAAGUCAGCUGUGAAAGUCAAGGGCUCAACCCUUGAAUGCCGGUUGAUACUGUCGGGCUAGAGUCCGGAAGAGGCGAGUGGAAUUCCCCGGUGUAGCGGUGAAAUGCGCAGAUAUCGGGAGGAACGCCAAUGGCGAAGGCAGCUCGCUGGGACGGUACUGACGCUGAGACGCGAAAGCGUGGGGAGCAAACAGG
rnacentral:rRNA from 1 species